AGGAUAUAUAACUUAAGUAUUAUUGGAACCAGAUAGAUCGCCCGUCAGGUCGUUACAUCUUAUGUCUUCUCUAGAUAAAAAAAUUAAGAAUUUUAUGGUGAAUUUCAUAUUUUUCUUGUUCUAAUGAAAACACCAAAAAAAUAUCUUUUUUUUUCGUAAAAUCAAGAAGACCAAAUUAGAAAAGCAUAGAAAUCUCUGACCAAAAUUUUUUAUACUCUUGCUU
rnacentral:lncRNA from 1 species